GAGACCACCUGCCCAGAUGUCGAUGGUCCCUUCUUCUGGCGGAACAGUACAAGCUGUAGCUGCCGGGGUGCCGGAUGGCGUCACCACCGGCUCACUGUGUGUGGACCGGACAGCCGCCGGAGGCCGUUGUGGCGCUGCCCGCUGACGCGCCACAUCAGCAAAGCUGCUCUUCGGCAGAUGGGCACGACCGUGAGUAUGCGGCGUGCUCCCCAUCACAGUUUACACAGUGGAGAGUGUUCUCGCAAGAUUCAGAGGUAUGUUCAUGGGCACUGCAUUUCGCACAAGUUUGGUGGCCACGGCAGCUCUGUGAACUGUGGCCGAAACAUUGGCAUUUCAAACAUCUAAGGGGAUUUGGCAUAUAUGGCCUAACAAGGAGCUUGAUGUACCCGGCCUCUACAGACUCGGGCAGAAGACUUGAGCCGAAUGCCGUUCAGCUGUGAGAACUGAGGAAUGAACCAUGAGCAUGGAGCAAUGAAUCAACCUAAAUUUUUAGUUUGGUUGAAGAAAAAAUCGUCAGAGUGCUCUAAAUGCUUCAGCAAGUGUAUGAAGAAGACAACAUGCCAUGCACACAUGUGCUUGAAUGGCACAAGAGGUUCAAAGAGGGGUGCGAGGAAGUGGAAAAUGACUCGGGAAGUGGGGGGCCUUCAACAAGCAGGAAUGACAGUAUAAUGUAGAGUGUGUAAGGCAGGUGUUGUGUGCUGAUUGUCGGUUGACUGUUCGAAUGAUCGCCAUGCAAUUGGACAUGCGAAAGGACAGUGUUUGGAACAUUAUCACUGAAGAUUUGCAAAUGCGAAAAGUCUGUGAAAAGGUGGUGCCAUAACUGUUGAAUUCUGACUGGAUGAAGCUAAGCUCCACAUGCACGUGCGUCUAGAUAUCAUUGCACAUCUUCAAAGUGAACAAGACUAGGUUUGUCAAGUCACUACUGAUGAUGAGACGUGGAUUUUUGAGUACGACCCAGACUCUAAGUGCCAGAGCUGUCAGUGGAAGUCUGCGUUGCUGCCGACGCCGAAGAAAAUGCAGUUUUUCAACGUUCCUUGGCUGCCAUUCUCGGACAGCCUUGCCGGUGUUACGCCUUGCUCUACCGAUGUCAGCCUGAAAGGCAACCCACCAUCUACCUUGCUGACUUGGCCUCCCGGAAAUGUGGCGCCCCCUCGAUCCUCUACGAGUGGAAUUCAGUGCAUUGUGGGGAUUCAAACCGCUACGACCAACCCAGCCCAACCAACACCCACCACCGUAUGCGGAAAUCCGACUGAAUCAGUUCUAUCAAGCGACAAGCGUCACUGCCGAUCAGAAUAUAAAGCCUGUUCGGCUGCAAGCUCGUUUCAGUGGGUUCAGUUGCGUAGUAAUGGCCCCAGCUAACCGGCCCUUCAUUUUCCUGAUGCAGGUUACCAUGUCUGAUCCUUGGCAUUCAAUUUGGAGAUUAUCAACAUAUAAUGUGGUGUCGCAACACACCAAAUGCAUGCUGCCGCAGACGCCCCUGCAGAGUAUUCAUAUUAAGAAGUGAGGUACAUCAUGUAUCAGCGACAUGUCAGUUGCACUCUUUUCUUCAGAGAGACAGUUUAUCAAGAGCCUGUUGAGAGUGAAGCGAUGCUCGUCUGAAGUUUUUAAGUAUGUUGCACAGUGCAUGUUUCUACAUAUUGGCCAUCAUUGUAAGCAAAAUAAACAGUACAAUUAGCA